rnacentral:rRNA from 1 species
CAGCAGCCACGGUAAAACGAGGGGAGCUAGCGUUGUUCGGAAUUACUGGGCGUAAAGCGCGCGUAGGCGGCUUUUUAAGUCAGAGGUGAAAGCCCGGGGCUCAACCCCGGAAUUGCCUUUGAAACUGGAAAGCUAGAAUCUUGGAGAGGUCAGUGGAAUUCCGAGUGUAGAGGUGAAAUUCGUAGAUAUUCGGAAGAACACCAGUGGCGAAGGCGACUGACUGGACAAGUAUUGACGCUGAGGUGCCAAAGCGUGGGGAGCAAACAGGAUUAGAUACCCCCGUAGUCCCUGUCUCUUAUAC